CGGGCGUUCUCAAGUUCUCCCAUAAAUUUCCCCCAAUGUGUUUCAAUCACCUCACUUGUAGUAUAGUAGAUUAUUUUUUGAACAAAACUAAGCAUUCGUGUCCUUAAUAACCAGCUGUUCCUUUUCCAUUGUUCGAUUUUCGCAUUGGAGGAAUUGAGACGCCAAGCACUAUUCUUGCUGUGCUGCACCCAACUAUUCUCAAGUUGCAUUUCAACGUGACGAAGUAAAAGAAAAUAUCUGAACAAAAGUUGAUAUCGAAUAAUAGCUUUGCGGGAUAAAAUAAGUGAAAGGGGAAAUGGAACUUUAUAGCAUAGUUGCAUCGUUUCAAAUCCAUUAAUAUCUUUAUCGCUACCAACUUUUGAAGUCCCCUGUGUGCUCCGAUUGUGUUCACUCUCAAAAUUUCGAGUUUCAUUGCCCACAUCCGCUUGCUUCGUGAUUGAUUCAUUCCAAACUUCGUUUCCCUGAGAUGAUGUUCCUUCUUCCAAACCACUGAUACUUACAAUAUGCAUGAGCCAGUCUAUUAAUGAUGUUUGAUUCACUUCUACAGUCACGUAUUCUUUAUGUGGAUCAGUCGCAGUUAUCGUACCAGGCUGACGAAGGGCUAAAUCUAAUUGCGACUGCAACUUCGUGAUAGAUAUAUACUUUGCAGGUUUUCGUAGCUCGUGUUGAGCAUUGUCAAGAAAUGUUGUAAAAAAGUCAGAUUGAUCAAGGAAAAAAUAAUGUUUGAGCGAGUACAGAUGAGCGUAAAGAGACUGUGAAGACUGGAGUAAUUGCAAGAGAGAUUCAUUUGCAUAAACAUAGGCAUUCAUGAUAUUUAAAGUAAAGUUAUCAUCAUCGAAGGUUGAAGGCCAGAGCAACUGGUUUUGAGUAUCGUCUUUUGCAUUUAACGAAGCCAGGUUAUUAACUCCCUUCCUACACUCUAAAACGACGUUCAAAUACUUGCCUGCAAAGAGUACCUUGUUUUGUAAAUCAAGCAAUUGUGGAGGAACUUGAUCCUCUCGAAUCACGUAUCGUUUUUCCCAAUAUUCAUCUGUG